AUUGAACGCUGGCGGCAGGCCUAACACAUGCAGGUCGAACGGUAGCACAGAGAGCUUGCUCUCGGGUGACGAGUGGCGGACGGGUGAGUAACGUCUGGGAAACUGCCCGAUGGAGGGGGAUAACUACUGGAAACGGUAGCUAAUACCGCAUAACGUCGCAAGACCAAAGUGGGGGACCUUCGGGCCUCACACCAUCGGAUGUGCCCAGAUGGGAUUAGCUAGUAGGUGGGGUAAUGGCUCACCUAGGCGACGAUCCCUAGCUGGUCUGAGAGGAUGACCAGCCACGCUGGAACUGAGACACGGUCCAGACUCCUACGGGAGGCAGCAGUGGGGAAUAUUGCACAAUGGGCGCAAGCCUGAUGCAGCCAUGCCGCGUGUAUGAAGAAGGCCUUCGGGUUGUAAAGUACUUUCAGCGGGGAGGAAGGCGGUGGAGUUAAUAACUUCACCGAUUGACGUUACCCGCAGAAGAAGCACCGGCUAACUCCGUGCCAGCCGCCGCCGUAACAC
rnacentral:rRNA from 1 species